UGGACCAAUGAUGACGACUGCCGGCGUAUGAGUCUUGGAUGAUGAAUAAUACGUGUCUGGAACUCUGAGGUCCAA
ensembl:snoRNA SNORD114-12 small nucleolar RNA, C/D box 114-12